UAACUGCCUAUUUGAGACGCCAAAAUAUUGUCAGCUGAAUUUUAAAUGUCAAGGUUAUCUUAAAUAGUACCAUUCCAUUCUGAAUGCCUCCCAUUUGAGGACCAUAACCAACCUAUAAACAAUAAUGAAUUUAUUUUCUCAGUAGCCCUAUGAGUUAGGAAAUAAGCAUUAGAACCACAUUUACACUAGGGUAAAGUAAAAUAUGAAAUACUGUAGUGUUAUAUGAAUAUAGCUUCACUGGGCAUCAUGAUUUUUUCCCAAUUUACAACCAUCACAAACUAAAACAAAUCAGGCACUUCUCCUUAUCUGAAAUCAAACAGGAACGAUUAUGUCUAAGAAAGCAUUUACAUAUGUAUCCAAAUAAAUAUUUAAGUGGAAUCUCUGCAUCUCGGCUGAAGAGAUCAAUCAAAGAAAACCCUGAAGGUCCAUAAACUGUGCUGUCACAUUGCCCAGUAUGGUCACUGAUGACACCAUAUAUACAGGAGAGCUACACCCUUCUCAAAGGUAACCUGUUCAGUUACUUGAAAUAACUUCUGCACAUGUUGAUUUUGAAGACAGGAUUUGAGGGUCAAAAAACAAUGUCAGCAUCAGCCUACAACCUUGACCUGGGUGUCUAAAUUUCAGGAACAGGGAGGGAAAGGGAAUUCAGGCAUACUUUGCUACUCAUUAUUUCCUUUUGGCUUUCUGUUGGAACCUAUUUUGUUUUGGUGGUUGUCUGAAGAAAUGAAAGACAUUAGGACAAAGGAAAUUGAAUACUUUCAAUUAAAGAAGCCUGAUUUUCUGUAAAUCAAAAAUAACUAAAUCAGACCCUUGGCACUCUGAAGCAGCUCCAGCCCACACCCCCUCUCUCCUACGAGAGCACCCUGGUUGCUAAUGCUGACGUGUGCAUUGCAGGGGGGAGUCAGGACAGGAGAAAAAAGAACCCUGCUUUUGCUGUCCAAGGAUUGGACAACAAAUGUGAUCUUUGUAUAAAAGCCAAUACAGGCAGGAGGGACAAAGCCAUUCCCCACCUACUCCCUUGCCCACAGAAAUCACACUCAUGCUUUUGAGACACAGUGCUGGAGAUGCAUUGGUUUACUUCACAACACUUCCAGUGUUUCCCCAGCUUUGAAGUGGAAGAAGUUAAGACUGAAGGUUUGGAAUUAAUUCUCAUCUGCCUAGAUUCAGACAUCUGAUUCAGACACCUCAACCUUUUUUUAGUAUUAUUUUCUAAACCUUUAUAGCCCAUACGUAGUUGCACUUAAGCCAGUUCAACUUCAGGACUUCUAAAUAGAGAGGUGACUGUUGAGGUUGUCUGUUGAACUGGAGCUCUCAGCAGACCUGUAAGAAGGCACACAACACUAUCAGGAUUCCUGAAGUCUUCUCUGACCUGGGUAGUGCUAUAAAACAUCCUACAAUUGGCUUCUAAAACAUGACAUUCGAUUGUAAGGCAAAUCCUUGCAGUGAGUAAACACAGGACUUCUGUGGAGCCAAAAGCUGCAAAAAGUACGUUUCUACACAACAUAAGGAAUCAGAUGUCAUCAUCUUUCCUCUCGUACUUCAGGCCUGACUUAAAAGUUGGGCACUUUCCAAGGCAUUAGCUCACUUCCCCAGCAAGACCUAGGGUGCACUGCGCUAGCCAAGAGAGCUCAGCUUUCUAACACCCAUUAAUACUGGUCACAACUGUUUAUGCAUUCCAGCUAACUCUUUUAUGGCCAAGACGCUACCAAGAUAUAGGAUACUGCUUUGUGGAGUUCAGCCAGUGUGAAAAUGAGAUGUUACUAUGCUUUUCUCACCAAAUGAGGUCUCCUAUCAAUUCUUCACUGAGCACUUUGCAUGAUUUCACAGGAAUACAUUGCAUUGUUUCAGUUACAAAUUACUGAUUCACAUGAUAUUGAUAUCCCAAUUGUGAUAUGAGAACUUCAAAAGAAUGUGAUGAACCUUUCUGAACAACAAGCCAAAGGAAAAAAAAAAUAACAUGCCCAAAUAAUCAUAAAAUGCAUACAUCCUAUGCAAAAGGGCUGAGGUAAGAAAAUUCAUGAGUUAUCCAUGAGCGGGUGAGGAUCAUCACUCCACUGAAGAUUAGGUCAGAGCUGAGCAGUAGUGCCUCAGGGCAACCAGUGUCAGAUGUUGGAUGCUCAGCUGGUUCACUUCGUCCUACAGCUGGGGGCUCACAGGGUUCAGCAGCUUCCCAUUUACCACAGUGCCACUGGCAGUUACUAGAGCUGCGUUUGAUCUAUUUGUAGACAUACACAAGACACAUACACAAGACACACAGAAGGGUCAUCUGUGAUUUUUG